CAAACUGUAGGUAUCUACUGUACUAGGUAUAAUAUUAUAUUUAUACUAUAACUAGCAGUUUCAAUGAUUUUUGUUUGUAACUUUUCUCUUGUAGAAUUUUUUGAAGUUUGUAAGCUAUAGAGUUUACAGUUCAGAGGAACGCUACGACUUCUACAACUUCCAGAAUUAGGUAGUAUUUUAAAGAUUUUGUUUUAAUUCAUAUGUAAAUAGUAUUCAACUUUUAAACAUUUGUGUUUAUUGAAAGUACUAAAAAACUUGUAAAGUAAAAGGAAGGCGCACUCGAAUGGCUACCUUGAAGCUGCAAUUAGCCAAUAAAAAGAUAAUUAGCUCUCAGUCGGGCUCAGGAAAUUAAGAAUGUCGCAAAAACAAUACCAUCUCAUUAAAUAUUCUAGAAAGUUCAAAUCAUAUGCACGUUUUCUAUGACUAACAAGACCUUACAGUUCCAGUCUAAAACAAACCCGAAUGAAUUUACACGAGUAAACCACCUUCACUGUGCUAGAUAUUCUGCGGGAAUCCUUGUAGUGUAAUGUACGUUAGCUGGAAUUCGAAUUAUCAUUUUUUUGUUCAUUAUAAUUAUGAUUAAUAGUUAUUCUUUUAAACAGAUGCAUUGUAAUAAUUUUCGGAUAAAAAACGUGACAAUAAUAUUCUCAUUAAGAUAACGACGAGUAAGUAAGGAAAACAAAAGCCAAUCGUUAUUAUAAAUAAGCGUUGCUAAUUCACAAAUUGUUUGUUUCCGCGUUAAAGUUCGGAAAAACUGCAGGAUUUUAUUAAAAUUAUUCUAAACUGCAAUAAAAUUAACAUUUAUAUAUAUUAGAAAUUAUAUUGAUAUACGUGGAUACAGCUGAUACCGUCUGUGGGCUCGGAGAACAAGUCUACUAGGUGCUUCAUCUGUUCUCAGUAGUUAAAUCACAAUCUGUCCUGAUCUCAGUCGGAUGAGAAUAAUUAUUACAAGUGAUUAGAAUUGAGAAUAAACCGUUUCCUUCGUCUGAAUCGAUUGCGAUCUAAAACGUUUCCAUAAGAAUAAUAAGUGGUGAUAAAACACAUACGUGCUCAGAGGUUGCAGUCUGCGACGUUUAUCGACACAACAGAUAAAAGAAAAAGAAUUGAUGACAGAAUAUAUUAUAAAGAAAAUAGCGACCGAGAAUUAAAUAGCUCCCUGACCUGAAUUUAGGAGAGGUCUAUUGUGUGUUAAUAUUAAAGAAUUAUUUUAUAAUUAUAUUGCUAAUAAAUAAUUCAAUUUUUAUAAAAAAAAAUAUUUUAAGCCACUCAUCGAACGCGUGACGCCUUCCAGUCGGACUGUACGAUAGAAAAGGGUUUUGUUCAUAGCAAAUUCAAUGAACUUCCUUUACUUUUAAUUAGUUUUAAAUAUCAGUAGAAAGUAGGAAGUCACCGAGGGCCGACAUAUGAGAUAUUUAAGCGCUAAUCUUGAAAAAAUUAAUGAGAAAUAAUAGUUAAGUCUUUUAUUGACAUUAAGGACUGGUGGAUCUACAUACAUACAUAGCAUAGCAUAGUGUACGAUCUGUGCGGCCUCCACUGUGGCCGGGGAGUCUCGUUUACUAGAUGUAACAAGUGUAAGGUGUUUAAUAGUCGUCACCUAGCAUAUGUGUGUGUGUGUGCGUGCGUGUGUGCGUGUAUAUGAGACUGUCAUUGUUGUCUUUCGAUCCCGUUCUUUUGUUUUGUAAAUAUUUUAAAUGAAAUGCGUUCGAAUAACAAAACAGUUGACAAAAGUCAACAAUAAGUUUCGCGCGACGUUAAUAUAUGUGUCUCCGUCGCAGGCGAGGCAGGACUUGCCGUGGCCUCCAUCGGUGACUGUUAGUGUGGGGGCGAGGCUCGCUCUCUGUCCGGGACAUAGCUUGCAUCCUCCGUUGUACCUCUCACACAGGCAGCCCCUCGCCAGCGUGUCCACCUUCAGCUCCUCGAGGCCGCACUUGUCGUACCUCUUCUCCGUGUCCAGGUAGAGGCAGGUGUCCGGGCAGGUGUGGCAUCUCCCGUCCUCUCUCCGCUCUCCUUCGCUGCUGCCCGUCAUGUAGGAGGUGAGAGUCACCUCGGACGAAGAUCGCACGUUGUUAUUCAGUUUGUAUUUCGUCAUAUUAUUGGCGUGUGAUGAAGACCGAUCCUCGGGACAUUUUACGUAAACUGUUCGCGAACGAUCAGCGCUCGGACAUGACAGCUUGCGAUCGACUCGAGCGCUCGCCGCUGAAUGACGACUGACGAGUGGCGGCUCACGAAACACAGGUCUGAUAGAAUACCUACUCACGACAGGGACAGAGACAGGCAGUAGGAGGAGGAGACAGAGGACCCAGGGUAGAGACCUCACCAAAAGGGAGAAGAUUCAACAAACUUGGAAUAUGGAAAUUAAGAAAAAAAUUAUAUGAAUUAAUAAAAAUAUAACGUUUCAUGGUUUUAA